rnacentral:rRNA from 1 species
AGCGAACGCUGGCGGCAGGCCUAACACAUGCAAGUCGAACGAACCCUUCGGGGUUAGUGGCGGACGGGUGAGUAACACGUGGGAACGUGCCUUUAGGUUCGGAAUAACUCAGGGAAACUUGUGCUAAUACCGAAUGUGCCCUUCGGGGGAAAGAUUUAUCGCCUUUAGAGCGGCCCGCGUCUGAUUAGCUAGUUGGUGAGGGAAUGGCUCACCAAGGCUACGAUCAGUAGCUGGUCUGGGAGGAUGACCAGCCACAUUGGGACUGAGACACGGCCCAAACUCCUACGGGAGGCAGCAGUGGGGAAUCUUGCGCAAUGGGCGAAAGCCUGACGCAGCCAUGCCGCGUGGAUGAUGAAGGUCUUAGGAUUGUAAAAUCCUUUCACCGGUGAAGAUAAUGACUGUAGCCGGAGAAGAAGCCCCGGCUAACUUCGUGCCAGCCGCCGCGGUAAAAC